UUAUUCUUGUGAACAUUUUCGGUAUUUUUGCACUUGGAUUUUUUGGGUGCAACUCGUGAAUUCCAAAGAGAGGAUUAAUACCUUACAACUCGUGAAUAGGUGUGGUUCAUUUAUCUAUCUUUAUUUCAUCACCUUGAAAUUCAUAAAUAGGUGUUGAUUCAUUUUAUCAUUCUCUUGUUAUUUUCCAUUCAAUAUUCAUUUCAUCAAUUUGUCAAUCUUUUGCAUGUUUUCCAUUCUCUAUUCAAAAAGACAUUGUUAUUCUUAUCUUUUCUUGUUGUUCAUAUAUUUUCUUGCAUAAUCCCAUCUCCCAAACACUUCACACGCCUAUCACAUUGCCAACCCUAUUUCCCAUAUUCUCCACUUCCCAAAGUUAUCAUUCCCUCAUCCACAUUAGCCCUAGCCGAAAUUCUCAUUGCCUCCAUCAUUCCAUACACAUGUAUUGCCCUAGUUGGAAACCCUAGUAUCCAUAAGGAUUUCCUAAACUUUAAGAAUCCUAACCCUAGCAUCCCUUCAUCCAACUAAACCCUAGCAAAACCCUAGAGUCCAACAAGGUAAUUUUAACUUUUAGGACCCUUCAUCCCAUCUCCUAAAUCCAAUCCCUAAAAUCAUUUCAUCCCUAAAAUCACUCAAUCCCUUGAAUCACUCAACCCCAAUCCACUCAAUCCCUAGAAUCACUCAAGUCAACCAAAGAUCUUCAUCUUUUGCCAUAUUCAAAUCCAAUCCUCCAUCCCCAAAUCUCUAAAGUCUUGGAACAACCCUAGACUUAUUCAAACACCAUCCAACUUCAUCCAUUUACCAUAUCUAAAUCCUAUAUUCCUCAUCUUACCUUAGUCAAUCCCUAAACUCAAGGCACAACCCUAAACCCAUUCAAACAUCACGCAAUCCUCCUUCCAAACCCUAACAACUCAUCCUACACUCCAACCCUAGUCUAUCACUUCCCAAUUUCGUAAUCCCACCACCACCCAAAACCCUAGCUACACUUCACCAUACCAACCCUAAGCAUCAUCCAAGCGGCCCAAUAUAAAAGGCAACCUUCAAGUCGUUCCACAUUGCAUCAAACACACCAAAUCAUUACAUAGAUCACCCGAACUCAUCAUCAUCAUAAUUAUCAUCACUAAACACCAUGCCUUCAUCAACUUAGGGACCAUUCAUUGCCAUUAUUGUUCAAAGACCAAGUAAGAUGGUUAAGGCAAUCAAUCAUCAUAAGGAAAACCAAGGCGAGGACAACAUAGUGUUUAGGGACUAGAUCGGGGUCCCUAACAGUGUGCUCCACCGCGCCUGCAUACUCUUUCGUGUUCUCUCUUAACCACUGACGAAAGCUUAGUCGCCACUGAUGACUUGGUUAGAGCUUCAUUUUUUAUAGAUUGACCAAGAUCGGCCUCAGAUUGUGUUGCCCAGCUUUCUCUCUCUCAAGUUGUAAUAGUCUGAUGGGCGAAGAUGAAGAUGAUAGGCCAUCCAAGCCUUCUACAUCGAUUUCACCGACGCAAGCUAUCAUGGUCCCGUAAAUCCAUACUACCCGACAUUUUUUAUGACACCAAAUGCAUACUCAAAUCCAUAUAUGUAUCAUUGGAGUAGCUAGCAUCUAUUGGGCAAUGAGGAGGUGUGAGGUGUGUGACCAUAUUGAUGCGAUGUAAUUCCAUGAAGAUAGUUGCCUAAUUUAGACAAUCAUCGUGUGACCAGACAGAGGCUUGAGAAGAUUUUUUAGCAACACCGUGCAUGUGAUUGGACUUGAGAAUUAUUUUUUGGGAGCUUGUGUACAUGCCGCUUUUCAAACACGUUGUGCAGAAUUUUUUGUGGAUAUAAAUAUUGG